rnacentral:rRNA from 1 species
CCCGAUGAACCCGAAUAUCCAUUAUGGAAAAUUCAUCAUUAUGAAUUAUGAUAUUUAAUAAAUAUUAUAUUAAUGGUGUGCAUUUUUUCCAUAUAAGGACAUUGUAAUGUAAUCUAUUAAUAUUAAAAUUUAUCAUAAAGUCAUUGGCUUUAAAGUUUAUUCAAAUUAUUAUGCUUGCAUUUUAACAUAGAAUAAAUGCUUUUGAUUUGAUAGAUUGUUGAUAGAUUUAUAUUUAUAUAGUGCUUAAAUAUAUUUAUAUAUUUUAUAAUAGCAUAUAAAUCAAUAAUUUUUAUGUUUAUUAUAUGCACUUAUAUGAUUUACAAUGCGAAAGAUUCGGGAUACUUCGGG